rnacentral:rRNA from 1 species
GGGUUGUGAGGUUAAGCGACUAAGCGUACACGGUGGAUGCCCUGGCAGUCAGAGGCGAUGAAGGGCGUGCUAAUCUGCGAUAAGCGCCGGUAAGGUGAUAUGAACCGUUAUAACCGGCGAUACCCGAAUGGGGAAACCCAGUGUGACUCGUCACACUAUCAUUAACUGAAUCCAUAGGUUAAUGAGGCGAACCGGGGGAACUGAAACAUCUAAGUACCCCGAGGAAAAGAAAUCAACCGAGAUUCCCCCAGUAGCGGCGAGCGAACGGGGAGGAGCCCAGAGCCUGAAUCAGCAUGUGUGUUAGUGGAAGCGUCUGGAAAGGCGCGCGAUACAGGGUGACAGCCCCGUACACAAAAGCGCAUGUGCUGUGAGCUCGAUGAGUAGGGCGGGACACGUGGUAUCCUGUCUGAAUAUGGGGGGACCAUCCUCCAAGGCUAAAUACUCCUGACUGACCGAUAGUGAACCAGUACCGUGAGGGAAAGGCGAAAAGAACCCCGGCGAGGGGAGUGAAAAAGAACCUGAAACCGUGUACGUACAAGCAGUGGGAGCCCCACCACCAAAGCAUUUGCUGUACCGCGUUGACGGAGCGAAGCGACGUCAAACCGAUAAAACAGCAGUGUAAAGUGAGCCGCAGGGCGCUUUGCGCGACAGCGCAAAGGCAGGCGGUUUCGCGUAGCGAAAGCGAAUGCUUUGGGGUGGGGUGACUGCGUACCUUUUGUAUAAUGGGUCAGCGACUUAUAUUCUGUAGCAAGGUUAACCGAAUAGGGGAGCCGGAGGGAAACCGAGUCUUAAUUGGGCGUUAAGUUGCAGGGUAUAGACCCGAAACCCGGUGAUCUAGCCAUGGGCAGGUUGAAGGUUGGGUAACACUAACUGGAGGACCGAACCGACUAAUGUUGAAAAAUUAGCGGAUGACCUGUGGCUGGGGGUGAAAGGCCAAUCAAACCGGGAGAUAGCUGGUUCUCCCCGAAAGCUAUUUAGGUAGCGCCUCGUGAAUUCAUCUCCGGGGGUAGAGCACUGUUUCGGCUAGGGGGCCAUCCCGGCUUACCAACCCGAUGCAAACUGCGAAUACCGGAGAAUGUUAUCACGGGAGACACACGGCGGGUGCUAACGUCCGUCGUGAAGAGGGAAACAACCCAGACCGCCAGCUAAGGUCCCAAAGUCAUGGUUAAGUGGGAAACGAUGUGGGAAGGCCCAGACAGCCAGGAUGUUGGCUUAGAAGCAGCCAUCAUUUAAAGAAAGCGUAAUAGCUCACUGGUCGAGUCGGCCUGCGCGGAAGAUGUAACGGGGCUAAACCAUGCACCGAAGCUGCGGCAGCGACGCUGAUGCGUUGUUGGGUAGGGGAGCGUUCUGUAAGCCUGCGAAGGUGGCCUGUGAGGGUUGCUGGAGGUAUCAGAAGUGCGAAUGCUGACAUAAGUAACGAUAAAGCGGGUGAAAAGCCCGCUCGCCGGAAGACCAAGGGUUCCUGUCCAACGUUAAUCGGGGCAGGGUGAGUCGACCCCUAAGGCGAGGCCGAAAGGCGUAGUCGAUGGGAAACGGGUUAAUAUUCCCGUACUUGGUGUUACUGCGAAGGGGGGACGGAGAAGGCUAUGUUGGCCGGGCGACGGUUGUCCCGGUUUAAGCGUGUAGGCUGGUUUUCCAGGCAAAUCCGGAAAAUCAAGGCUGAGGCGUGAUGACGAGGCACUACGGUGCUGAAGCAACAAAUGCCCUGCUUCCAGGAAAAGCCUCUAAGCAUCAGGUAACAUCAAAUCGUACCCCAAACCGACACAGGUGGUCAGGUAGAGAAUACCAAGGCGCUUGAGAGAACUCGGGUGAAGGAACUAGGCAAAAUGGUGCCGUAACUUCGGGAGAAGGCACGCUGACACGUAGGUGAAGUGAUUUACUCAUGGAGCUGAAGUCAGUCGAAGAUACCAGCUGGCUGCAACUGUUUAUUAAAAACACAGCACUGUGCAAACACGAAAGUGGACGUAUACGGUGUGACGCCUGCCCGGUGCCGGAAGGUUAAUUGAUGGGGUCAGCGCAAGCGAAGCUCCUGAUCGAAGCCCCGGUAAACGGCGGCCGUAACUAUAACGGUCCUAAGGUAGCGAAAUUCCUUGUCGGGUAAGUUCCGACCUGCACGAAUGGCGUAAUGAUGGCCAGGCUGUCUCCACCCGAGACUCAGUGAAAUUGAACUCGCUGUGAAGAUGCAGUGUACCCGCGGCAAGACGGAAAGACCCCGUGAACCUUUACUAUAGCUUGACACUGAACAUUGAGCCUUGAUGUGUAGGAUAGGUGGGAGGCUUUGAAGUGUGGACGCCAGUCUGCAUGGAGCCGACCUUGAAAUACCACCCUUUAAUGUUUGAUGUUCUAACGUGGACCCGUUACCCGGGUUGCGGACAGUGUCUGGUGGGUAGUUUGACUGGGGCGGUCUCCUCCUAAAGAGUAACGGAGGAGCACGAAGGUUGGCUAAUCCUGGUCGGACAUCAGGAGGUUAGUGCAAUGGCAUAAGCCAGCCUGACUGCGAGCGUGACGGCGCGAGCAGGUGCGAAAGCAGGUCAUAGUGAUCCGGUGGUUCUGAAUGGAAGGGCCAUCGCUCAACGGAUAAAAGGUACUCCGGGGAUAACAGGCUGAUACCGCCCAAGAGUUCAUAUCGACGGCGGUGUUUGGCACCUCGAUGUCGGCUCAUCACAUCCUGGGGCUGAAGUAGGUCCCAAGGGUAUGGCUGUUCGCCAUUUAAAGUGGUACGCGAGCUGGGUUUAGAACGUCGUGAGACAGUUCGGUCCCUAUCUGCCGUGGGCGCUGGAGAACUGAGGGGGGCUGCUCCUAGUACGAGAGGACCGGAGUGGACGCAUCACUGGUGUUCGGGUUGUCAUGCCAAUGGCACUGCCCGGUAGCUAAAUGCGGAAGAGAUAAGUGCUGAAAGCAUCUAAGCACGAAACUUGCCCCGAGAUGAGUUCUCCCUGAGACUUAGAGUCUCCUGAAGGAACGUUGAAGACGACGACGUUGAUAGGCCGGGUGUGUAAGCGCAGCGAUGCGUUGAGCUAACCGGUACUAAUGAACCGUGAGGCUUAACCUUACAACGCCGAAG